rnacentral:tRNA from 1 species
GCGUGAUGGCUCAGUGGUAGAGUACUGGUUUUGUAACCGGGAAGUCCUGGGUUCAAAACCAAGUCAAUGCG